GAAUGUUUAUGAGUGCAAUUGUAAGAAUAUUUUCAUGAGGUGACAUUUCACCUCAUGAAAAUAUUUCACCUCAUGAAAAUAUUCUUACAAUUGCACUCAUAAAAAUUC